AGUGAACGCUGGCGGUAGGCCUAACACAUGCAAGUCGAACGGCAGCACAGUAAGAGCUUGCUCUUACGGGUGGCGAGUGGCGGACGGGUGAGGAAUACAUCGGAAUCUACUUUUUCGUGGGGGAUAACGUAGGGAAACUUACACUAAUACCGCAUACGACCUACGGGUGAAAGCAGGGGAUCUUCGGACCUUGCGCGAUUGAAUGAGCCGAUGUCGGAUUAGCUAGUUGGCGGGGUAAAGGCCCACCAAGGCGACGAUCCGUAGCUGGUCUGAGAGGAUGAUCAGCCACACUGGAACUGAGACACGGUCCAGACUCCUAUGGGAGGCAGCAGUGGGGAAUAUUGGACAAUGGGCGCAAGCCUGAUCCAGCCAUACCGCGUGGGUGAAGAAGGCCUUCGGGUUGUAAAGCCCUUUUGUUGGGAAAGAAAAGCAGCAGGUUAAUACCCCGCUGUUCUGACGGUACCCAAAGAAUAAGCACCGGCUAACUUCGUG
rnacentral:rRNA from 1 species